AUGCACGUGUGUCACAGAUUACUAGUAUUGACAACUUGUAUUAUCAUGUUGUGUUUAGAGAGCUGUGAUGGACACCCUGGGGUCUGCAGAGCUCCUGCUCCCCAGGGCUUGCUCCCCGUGCUGCUGUCAGUGCCCAGGGAGCAGAGCUGUGCUGCAGGCCAGGCUGUGGCUGCCCACAGCUGCUCCCUCUGCAGAGCUUCCCGGCUGGCAGUGAGCAGCCUGCGCCCCACAGCCUUUGGCAGAAGCAGCUGCACUUUGCCCACCACUACCUCCCUUAGUUACCAGCUAACCACAGCCAAGCCUGUUCAAGAAAAAAAAAUCUAUUUUUUAACUCACAGACAAUGGACAGAGAGCAUGACAAGUUUUCCUGACAGCAAAACCGAAAUUAACACUGAGAGUACGCUGUAUAAUUAUUCCAGUAGAAGAAAUAAAUACAGUUUCAAAGUCAUUGCUCAUUAA
rnacentral:lncRNA from 1 species